rnacentral:rRNA from 1 species
UACGAGGGGGGCGAGCGUUGUUCGGAAUUAUUGGGCGUAAAGGGUGCGUAGGCGGUUUGGUAAGUCUGAUGUGAAAUCUAUGGGCUCAACUCAUAGUCUGCAUCGGAAACUGCCGGGCUUGAGUGUGGGAGAGGUGAGUGGAAUUCCUGGUGUAGCGGUGAAAUGCGUAGAUAUCAGGAGGAACACCUGUGGCGAAAGCGGCUCACUGGCUCAUAUCUGACGCUCAGGCGCGACAGCGUGGGGAUCAAACAGG